rnacentral:rRNA from 1 species
UACGAAGGUGGCAAGCGUUGUUCGGAUUUACUGGGCGUACAGGGAGCGUAGGCGGUUGGAUAAGCCCUCCGUGAAAUCUCCAGGCUUAACCUGGAAAGUGCAGAGGGGACUGUUCAACUAGAGGAUGGGAGAGGAGCGCGGAAUUCCCGGUGUAGCGGUGAAAUGCGUAGAGAUCGGGAGGAAGGCCGGUGGCGAAGGCGGCGCUCUGGAACAUUUCUGACGCUGAGGCUCGAAAGCGUGGGGAGCAAACAGG